rnacentral:rRNA from 1 species
UACAGAGGCCUCGAGCGUUAGGCGGAAUCACUGGGCUUAAAGCGUGUGUAGGCGGACUUCUAAGUACCUUGUGAAAUCCCACGGCUUACCCGUGGAACUGCUCGGUAUACUGGGAGUCUUGAGCCACCUAGGGGCGAGUGGAACAAAUGGUGGAGCGGUGAAAUGCGUAGAUAUCAUUUGGAACGCCAAUGGUGAAAACAACUCGCUGGGGGUGUGCUGACGCUGAGACACGAAAGCCAGGGGAGCGAACGGG